GACGAACGCUGGCGGCGUGCCUAAUACAUGCAAGUCGAGCGGACGAAUCGAAAGCUUGCUUUUGAUUCGUUAGCGGCGGACGGGUGAGUAACACGUGGGCAACCUGCCCUGUAGACGGGGAUAACACCGAGAAAUCGGUGCUAAUACCGGAUAACACGAAAUGUCGCAUGACGUUUCGUUGAAAGACGGCGCAAGCUGUCGCUACAGGAUGGGCCCGCGGCGCAUUAGCUAGUUGGUGAGUUAACGGCUCACCAAGGCGACGAUGCGUAGCCGACCUGAGGGGGGGAUCGGCCACACUGGGACUGAGACACGGCCCAGACUCCUACGGGAGGCAGCAGUGGGGAAUCUUCCGCAAUGGACGAAAGUCUGACGGAGCAACGCCGCGUGAGCGAAGAAGGCCUUCGGGUCGUAAAGCUCUGUUGUUAGGGAAGAACAAGUAACGCAGUAACUGGCGUUACCGUGACGGUACCUAACGAGAAAGCCACGGCUAACUACGUG
rnacentral:rRNA from 1 species